rnacentral:lncRNA from 10 species
AUUAAGUGCCCAAGAUGCAGAGAAUAUAACGUCGAACAGAACAGACAAAAGAGUCUGCUCUGAUAGAACUUACAUUCUAGUGCAGGGGACAGAUACAGACAAAGUGUGGGGGAGGGGCACUACUAAUUUAAGGAGGAUGGUUAGGGAAGGCUCUAGAAAAAGAUCUUUGAGGUAUCUAGUGGAAGGUCAGUCUGGGCAGAGAAACUGCUAAUGCCAUGCUCUGAGGUGCUGCAUUUGCAGUGACUUUGGGGUGUCCAAAUAGAGACUUCCUAAAGGCAGUUGAGUAUAUAGAAAAGGAAUUCAAGGAAGAGGUGAAAACCCAAGACCCAUGUUUGAGAAACGUUCCCAUAUUGUUUCCAUCUGAAGGAAUGGGCAUGGCUGGAGUGGGGAAAAUAGCCAGAACAGACCAAGUGUGGAAUCCAGGACAGAAGAUAAAAUUGCAGAGUUCAAAGACUACCUCUCUGAACAAAACCAGAAGAGAGAGGCCACCUAAGCUAAAGAAAGUGUGUGUAUUAUCAGUGGCUGCACACGCUGACUUUGAACAUUAUCUGCCAAGGAAGAAUGGUCAAGAAGGGGUUUAAAGACUUAAACCAAGUUCACUGGAAUACAGGAGAGAGACCCUGGAUCCCACGAGGCAGGAAGAGACAAGCUGUUGAAGAAGCAGGCACCCAGAAAGAAAGAAGUCAUCACUGUCAGGCCAAAUGAAAAACUUUCAGUACAACUCAGGACAGCUUUGGGGCUCCGUCCUCGUGUUGUAAUGAUGUAUAGAUCUGGACUGCGCCUCUCAGACACAGGGACGACGAGCUUGUCUGGAGUUUGAAAACAUAUUUGUAAACUCCUGAGGGAACUUUGGAGGCUGAAUAGAUUCUCAGCCUCUAGCCUAGUUCUUUGGAUUGAAAAUCUAGACCACAUCUUUUUAUUUGAUAAAGCGUCUGUGUCUCUGUGUAUAUUAUGCUUAUUACUUCUUUCACUUUUUCCUCAUUACGUUUAGUCAAAGAGCUGGUAUUCCACUUAUAGAAAAAGGGAUUUCUGAAGCAUUUAAAAACAAUCCUUAAAAGUUCUGCCAUCUGUUUCUGAAUCAUUCAGAAAACAAAGUGAAGAAAUGCAAACCUUUUUCAUAAAACUGGUGGCAUAUCAGCAGCUCUACUCUUAGGGGGCAUGUGACUUGUUUUUCAUGUGGAUCUCUCAGUUUCUUGACUCUGGGGUUCCAAUCCCAAUUCUGAUUCCCACUGAACAACAAAAAAGUACUAUGCUGUAGCACUAUUUUAUCAUUUGCACUUUGAGAAGUCCAGUCUUCAUAAGUGUGUGUGUGCCUCGGGGCAUUUAGAAAUGCACUAACAUAGUUGGCAAAGAGCAGUGGGCAGGUGCAAAGGGUUUUCUUUUUUUCUUUUUUGAGACAGAGUCUCACUCUGUUGCCCAGGCUGGAGUGCAGUGGCACAAUCUCGGCUCACUGCAAGCUCCGCCUCCCGGGUUCACACCAUUCUCCUGCCUCAGCCUCCCGAGUAGCUGGGACUACAGGCGCCCACCAUCACGCCUGGCUAAUUUUUUGUAUUUUUCAGUACAGACGGGGUUUCGUCGUGUUAGCCAGGAUGGUCUCGAUCUCCUGACCUCGUGAUCCAUCCGUCUUGGCCUCCCAAAGUCCUGGGAUUACAGGCGUGAGCCACCGUGCCCGGCCAAGGGUUUUCAAUGAAGAUAAACUGUUAAGACAUUUUCUUCUCCUUUUGCUUCAUUUUGUGUCUCCUUGCAGUAUUUGUGUUUUUUUCCCCCUCUAAUAUUGAAGACAUUUUCUAUUUGAUUUGUGAUUCAACAUUCAAUGUGGAAAGUCUGCUCUCUAAGAUCCAGAUAGAAACUAAUAUACUGCUUUAGGUAAUCUUACUCUAUGACCUUCCUCACUAGAUGCCUAAUGUAGGACAAGAUUCUCCUUUUAUAGUUUCUGAGUGCCUUCUUUUUAUGUGGGAGAUUUAGCAAAUGAUGCUUGACAAAUCCUUUCUCAUAACUUCUAACUAUUAAAAUGUCCUUUUUGUGAGUCAUGUUUUCUUUUUACCUUUACUUCGGGAGUUUUAGAUUUAUGUUCCAUACCCUGCAAAAAAUAAAGAUUUUUCACAAUUU